GAUGAACGCUGGCGGCGUGCCUAAUACAUGCAACUCGAGCGAACGGACGAGAAGCUUGCUUCUCUGAUGUUAGCGGCGGACGGGUGAGUAACACGUGGAUAACCUACCUAUAAGACUGGGAUAACUUCGGGAAACCGGAGCUAAUACCGGAUAAUAUUUUGAACCGCAUGGUUCAAAAGUGAAAGACGGUCUUGCUGUCACUUAUAGAUGGAUCCGCGCUGCAUUAGCUAGUUGGUAAGGUAACGGCUUACCAAGGCAACGAUGCAUAGCCGACCUGAGAGGGUGAUCGGCCACACUGGAACUGAGACACGGUCCAGACUCCUACGGGAGGCAGCAGUAGGGAAUCUUCCGCAAUGGGCGAAAGCCUGACGGAGCAACGCCGCGUGAGUGAUGAAGGUCUUCGGAUCGUAAAACUCUGUUAUUAGGGAAGAACAUAUGUGUAAGUAACUGUGCACAUCUUGACGGUACCUAAUCAGAAAGCCACGGCUAACUACGUG
rnacentral:rRNA from 1 species